rnacentral:lncRNA from 1 species
ACGAGGACCUCGUCUGGAUCCACGACUACCACCUCCUGGCGCUCCCCACCUUCCUCCGCAAGCGAUUCCCUCGCGCCAAGGUCGGAUUCUUCCUCCACUCGCCGUUCCCCUCGUCGGAGAUCUUCCGAACAAUCCCCGUCCGGGAUGACCUCGUCCGCGCCCUCCUCAACGCGGACCUCGUCGGCUUCCACACCUUCGACUACGCGCGGCACUUCCUGUCCGCGUGCUCCCGGCUGCUCGGCCUGGACUACCAGUCCAAGCGCGGAUACAUUGGCAUCGAGUACUACGGCCGCACCGUCACCGUCAAGAUACUGCCCGUCGGGA